GACGAACGCUGGCGGCGUGCUUAACACAUGCAAGUCGAACGGAAAGGCCCCCACCUUGGUGGGGGUGCUCGAGUGGCGAACGGGUGAGUAACACGUGGGUGAUCUGCCCUGUACUUCGGGAUAAGCUUGGGAAACUGGGUCUAAUACCGGAUAGGACCAUGGUUUAGUGUCUCAUGGUGGAAAAAUUAUUGUUUUGGUGCAGGAUGGGCUCGCGGCCUAUCAGCUUGUUGGUGGGGUAAUGGCCUACCAAGGCGUCGACGGGUAGCCGGCCUGAGAGGGUGGACGGCUACAUUGGGACUGAGAUACGGCCCAGACUCCUACGGGAGGCAGCAGUGGGGAAUAUGGCACAAUGGGCGCAAGCCUGAUGCAGCGACGCCGCGUGGGGGAGGACGGCCUUCGGGUGGGAAACUCCUUUCGUUAGGGACGAAGCCACACCUUUUUUGGGUGUGGUGACGGUACCUUUGUUAAGAAGCACCGGCUAACUACGUG
rnacentral:rRNA from 1 species